UUUUGUUUUUAAUUUUUUUUUUGGUUAUAUGAAAUAAUAGGUUGUUUGUAGUUAUAUAAUAAGCGGUUGAUUGUAAAAAAUACAAUGUUAAAGGCUACACUACAUGCCUACCUGUAGCUCCAGAAACAUUAGCUAAUCUGAAAACACACUAUACAGCGCUGCAUAUUAAACCUUUGUGGGUUUUUGGUAAUAUUCUUUUUCAUACAUGUUGCAGAGAGUUAUAAGGCUUCUGCGGAAUAAUAACAUUAUAACUGAACAAAUAUUUUACACUCUUCCAUAAUGGUAUUUACAGUUACUACAACUCGUAUUUUGCCAUUUGGUAAAUAACAUGUAUCUUGUAUGCAUCCUUCUUGCCUAUCUAAAGUGCUUGCUUAACUGCAUGAGGAAAGAAAAUGCAUACCUGCUUUAGGUGCAACAAACCCUCAAAUGAAGUAGCUGAAAUAUUUGUUGUAGAUCUGAAAUGCAUUCUCAGAAAUUGAAAUUAUUGCUAAAUUCAGUGCCCUCACUAGGCAAUCAUCUAUAUUAUUUGUCAUAUAUAAAUAUAUGCAUAUAUACUAGUAUGUAUGUACAUGCAUACACAUUCAUCUAUCAUGUAAAAGAUAGAUUUCAAUUUUUUGUCCAUCAACCUUUUUUAUUUUGUGCUAUUCAACUCACUUGUGCUAUGACUGAAGCCGGAUUAAAAUCAAAACCUUAACAUGCUACUGCUAACAACCCUAUGAUUCAUUAGCACAUAAUAAAGACAAUAUGCAAAAGAAAGCUGAGAUGAUGACAAAUCAGGAGGCUUUUGAAAUGCACUGAGAAUAAGGCAAUAGGCUGUACAUUACAGCAGAGGAAAAGCUGAAGAAAUUCUGGAAUUCAUAAACGCAUCUUACUGGAGUAGGGAUUGCUCUCCCUCCUUUGCUGCAGAGUCCUACACUUUUUUCCAAUAUCACUCUCCAGAAUGCGAGCUCUGUAGUUCCUGCACCUACCAACACUUUUAAUGGUAGCAAAUUCAAAGCUUAUUAAAAAUGCCCUGAUGCCACAACCUGGUAAAAUAAGGCACUUCCAGGGCUGUAUUCCAGCGGUGCCAUGCCAAAAAGAUCAGCACUGGGAAGAAGCACUCCAAUUUUGCUGAGUUUCCUAGUUUUGUCCCAUGAAAUGCGCCCCUCCUCUUUCUUUUGAGAUGAUUUUCUUUAAAGAAGCUGUUUCAUCAGUUGAAGUUGAGGAGCUACUUCUUUGUAAGCAAGAGGUAAAUCUUCA
rnacentral:lncRNA from 1 species